rnacentral:rRNA from 1 species
GGGUCAGUGGGUUGGUCGUGCCACCGGUACGUACUGGUCUCACUGAUUCCUCCUUCCUGAAGAACCGUAAUGCCAUUAAUUUGGUGUUGCGGGGAAACAGGACUGUUACUUUGAAAAAAUUAGAGUGUUUAAAGCAAGCUAACGCUUGAAUACAUUAGCAUGGAAUAAUGAAAUAGGACAAUCGAUCCUAUUUUGUUGGUUUCUAGGAUUGACGUA